GCCCUUAGCUAGCUCAGUUGGUAGAGCAUGUGACUUUUGAUCUCAGGGUCAUGAGUUCGAGCCCCAUGCUGGGUG